rnacentral:rRNA from 1 species
GACGAACGCUGGCGGCGUGCUUAACACAUGCAAGUCGAACGAUGAACCCGGAGCUUGCUCCGGCGGAUUAGUGGCGAACGGGUGAGUAACACGUGAGUAACAUGCCCUUGACUCUGGGAUAACUGCGGGAAACUGUAGCUAAUACCGGAUACGACCCUCGGCGGCAUCGCCAGGGGGUGGAAAGAAUUUCGGUCAAGGAUGGACUCGCGGCCUAUCAGCUAGUUGGUGAGGUAACGGCUCACCAAGGCGACGACGGGUAGCCGGCCUGAGAGGGUGACCGGCCACACUGGGACUGAGACACGGCCCAGACUCCUACGGGAGGCAGCAGUGGGGAAUAUUGCACAAUGGGCGCGAGCCUGAUGCAGCAACGCCGCGUGAGGGAUGACGGCCUUCGGGUUGUAAACCUCUUUUAGUAGGGAAGAAGCGAAAGUGACGGUACCUGCAGAAAAAGCACCGGCUAACUACGUGCCAGCCGCCGCCGUAA